GUAUGUGUGGCGCAACGGUAGCGCGUCUGACUCCAGAUCAGAAGGCUGCGUGUUCAUAUCACGUCAGGGUCA
rfam:Gasterosteus aculeatus cont1.006634, whole genome shotgun sequence.